rnacentral:rRNA from 1 species
UUUAUGAUCACUCUAACAUCUAGACAAUCGAGUCCCAUCAACGUUAGCAAGCUAUCGAAGACGGGGUAACCAUCAGAAGCCAGGUGACUAGCCCAAAGGGUAUCCGCUGCAAUCCUCAAUCCCGGUCACCACAUUUAUCAAGGUCUAUAACACUUUUCCGAAGAAAAGCCACCUUUCCUCAAUUUUUAUAUGAUAACCGAAAUUGAUGCUAACCUGCAAGUGAGAAAGUGCACUAGAAAGGACACGAGUAAACCCGCAUACUAUCAAGUUGAUUCCCCACCAACAUGACUG